UUGAACUUAGGAUGAUCCAUUUGGACUUUUCAAAGUUGAUUUGAAAUGGAUUUGAAGUUUGACCUUUAAUUGUUUAUUUUAAUUCAAGUAUUAUUUUAAUUUUCAAAAAUACAAAAAAUAUUUUAUUUGUUUCUUGACUUCUAAGUUUCAUUUUGCUUCUGUUUACUAAUGUUUGACCUUGAUUUCAUCUAUCUUUGGUCAAUGUAUGUUGAUU
rnacentral:lncRNA from 1 species